rnacentral:misc_RNA from 1 species
GAUGAAGAACGUAGCGAAAUGCGAUAAGUAGUGUGAAUUGCAGAAUUCAGUGAAUCAUCGAAUCUUUGAACGCACAUUGCGGCCAUAGGUAUUCCUUUGGCCAUGCCUGUUCGAGCGUCAUUUACACCCUCAAGCCUAGCUUGGUGUUGGGCGUCUGUCCCGCCGUUCUCGCGCGCGGACUCGCCUCAAAGUCAUUGGCGGCGGUCGUGCCGGCCCCCUCGCGCAGCACAUUUGCGCUUCUCGGAGGCCCGGCGGAUCCGCGCUCCAGCAAGACCUUUCACGACUUGACCUCGGAUCAGGUAGGUAUACCCGCUGAACUUAAGCAUAUCAAUAAGCGGAGGA